AUAUAUAAACUGUCCUUGUUUCUUUCAAAUUGCCCCUUGUUGUGUGGUUUGUUUUCUGUUCUCUGUGGCAUGUAUGUUGUUUCAUUUAGCUUUUGUUUUUGUAGUGUUUAGAUGCUCUUAUCUUUUUACAAGCUUAGCACUCUUAACAACAGUCAAUUGUUCUGUAAUGUUUUCCAGUGGUAGAAUGUUGUAUAAUGGUUUUUUGAUUGGUCACUACCCUCGAGCAUAGAAAUUGCAGCAGGCAUCUGUAUCUGUGCGAAGUCUUCUUUAUUGACAUUCUUUGAUGCACUGUUUUCUGUGCAUUUGAGAGAAAACUCUUGGAUCACUAUGCAAUGUAUUGCACCUAUCAUAAGACAAUUUGGUACGCCUAGAGUCUUUCAAGGGCCAAGCGUGAAGAAAGAAAAGUUCCCAGUUAUCAUGGCAUAUUACCACUGAGCAGGUUUUGCUUUCGCCUUUCGCCCCCUUUUAAUUACGACCUCUUUUAAUUGUUUGAAAAUUAUCAUAGGUAGCAAUCUGUACAAUUCUAUCAGAAGAUGACCUUUUAUCUGA